AGCUGUGGCUCUGCCCCCUCCACCUCCCCCCCUCCCCGGGGAUUUCUGCUCCAGAAGAAGCCAUCAUUAGUGACUUAAAUCCCUGUGUUAGUGCCUUUUCUAUUGUGAUAAAACACCAUGACCAAGAGAACCCUGGUUCCAUUACCAGCACCACACGGCAGCUACGCCUGCUUGUACUCCAGCUCCAAGGGUCAGACGCCCUCUUCUGGUCUCUGAAUGAACCUGCACACACACACCACUACCACCAACUACAACAACAGCAGCAGCAGCAGCAGCAGCAGCAGCAGCAGCAGCAGCAACAGCAGCAGCAGCAGCAGCAGGUUUUGGAGCUGGGAGUUAGGGUUCAUGUCUGUAAUCCCAGCAUUAAGGCUGUGUGGUUGCCAUGUGCUUCCAGACAGUCUGGGUGAUGCCAUCAGCUCUAGGCUUGUCUGAGCUUCAGGGUUCACAGCACAGCCCCUCAUAGAAGGAAGUCAGGACAGGAACGCAAACAGAGCAGGACCGAGAGGCAGGAGCUGAUGCAGAGGCCAUGGAGGGGUGCUGCUUGCUGGCUUGCUUCCCACGGCUUGCUCAGCCUUUCUUACAGACCCAGCCCAGUAAUGGUACCACCCUCAGUGGGCUCUCCCCUAUAAGUCACAAAUUAAGAAAAUGUCCUAAAGGCUUGCCUACAGCCUAGUCUUAUGGAGACAUUUUCUUAAUCGAGGCUCCAACGAUUCUAGCUUAUGUAGGGUUGACAUAAAACUAGCCAGUCCUGGUGGGAACAAAAAGAUGGGCAUAUAAAGGAGACUUGAAUUCUUUAGGUUGGAAGGAUGUGGUGUAGUGAAGUCAGAACUCACAACUGAGCGCACAUGCCCUUUGGCUCCCACCUCACUGCAGCAUCUGCUUGUCCUUUAUCCUUCUCUACCCACCCCAGACCAUGUUAUAAAUGAAGCCAGCCACUGUUAGCCCUGCUCCUUACUGAAGAGUUCCCCCUUGAUCUUUGGAGUCUGCUUUCUUUCCGCUCACUGACUACCCCCCCCCGCCCCCCAACCAUGGUUCCACAUCAACCUCUAGGAGAACAUUAGAUUGGACAGAGAGAAGUCAGGGAAAUGUUCCAGGUGUCUGAUCUCUUGAAUGUUGUCGCCUCUCUGGUCAGAAACUGAGCAGCACCCAACACUGUUUCUGCC
ensembl:antisense Gm28156 predicted gene 28156